GGAUCUCCAGUGUUGUCCCUUUCUCAACCUUCCCCUGACCUCUGCUGUUCAGAGUGACAUACAAAAACGACACUUUGAGGUUUCGAACGUGCAAGUUCAGGGAGUGUGAUGGCGGAUAGACCGCGAAGAUCAAGAAACGUGAUUACAUUUGUCUCCGAAUAGAGCGCCGUAACUAUACCAACUCCAUCCACCAGCCCCGUGGGAGUUGCACUUUGGCAACAGUAGCCAUAGUGAGGAAAAACACCAAAGAUACGGAGCAACAUGCCGGCACUCCUUUGAGAGUUAAAACGUAGCAGUAUGCGAGCUGUUGGUGGAAAUAACAUCAGGAGAAAAUGAUAUGGAACCACAUGGGGAUUCAUAUUCAGCUCCUCUAUAAAUACAGAAGCAACAAAUGUAUGCGCUAUCCCACUAAAUGCGUGGGUUGUCAACACCUUCGACCUGAGCUCUUCCCCCUGCGAAGAAAAUAGUCCAGGACUUUUGCCGGCUGUACGCGGCACCGCCACACGCAAACAAGGUUGGCAGAUGGCGCCGCUUAGAAUAAGACCUGCAUACAGCCGCUCGCACCGCUGCGACGCAGCCGCCUAAAAAAUACAAUUACUGCAGCGCCAGCAGAUACUCAGGAUCAAAUGCAGGCUUAUUAAAACGCACCGCAGAACCCCAACCCGGCCAAUCAAGCAAAUACUUCUGGCACCACCUGGCUCGGAUUUCGGGGUCGGGCACCGGGCCGUAAAUCUAAACUCCAGCCCUGAUUGUAUUUCAGCAGCUUUUCGCGCUGCCAGCAUGCCGCCGCAGUUGGCGGCUGUUAUGACACAACCAGAGAGAGCGGCAGCCUGUUCUCCACCAGAACGUCGGGUAUUCUGCUUUCACAUGACGAACCUGACCUGUGCGGCGGGCUGGUGGAAACAAAAAUAAGCAAGGCCAAAACAGGGGCGCCGCUAAUAAUAACGAAACUGGAGCGUCCUCCACUCGCUUCGCCGUUCCGACGACGCGCUUCUGUCUUUCCAAGUAAACAGGACGUGGGGUCAUCAUUCUUCGGGCCGUUGCUAACGACGCAGAGGUUUUGAAAGUGAUGGCCGCAUGUCGAAUCUGAACCGCUGGGAUUGGAAGCUUCGUGUUGUGAUUGGACUUGGCGCUCUACACUCGAAGUUGCCAAAUAAAUGCACUACAAGGAGUGUAUACCUGGGGUGUGAUAUCAGCCACUGGUUUCAAAUCCCGCCAUGUAAAGACUCUCGUUUCCUCUAACAGUCCGAGGUCAAGAGGUGAAGACGGGUCAGUUUGUGUCCACGGUUACAGUCCGCGCCUCGUUGAUCCUAGCUAUAGAUCUGCGGUUCCUGGACAAAUCAGGGCACGACCUUCAAUCUGAAGAGCAGAGUUCACAUGCAGUUUGACACACAGUUCACUGUCAUUUCUGUUUGUUUCACAAUUUAGCUGUAAAAUCUACGUCCCAAAAAAAAAAAAAAACUGGCUUCCUCUUUCAACUGCCUCUAGUGACAUCACGAAAGUUGUAAGGCAACUGUAAAGAGCUUCUAAUUGUAUUUUUUUUCCUCUUCAUUUGCAUAUUUUAGUUGUAAUGUCUCCUUCAAAGUCAUGGAUUUCAUUUCAUUGUGGCAACAGAACACAGAGAAGACGAUAGAACUCCAACGCUUCAGAAACCAUCAGAACUCCCUAAUUGACCGCACUGAUAUUAACAUUAUGCAUUUCCCAGCCACAUACUUUCAUUUCAUUGCACAAUCAAGCAACUAAGUUACCUUUGUUAUUAUGAAAAUGCUGUAAAAAUCAAAUAUGACUUAAAAGAAAUUUGACUUUUACAAUUUGAUGCCUUGAAAUUGGGCCUUUGUCUCUUUAAGAAGCUUCUGCUCUUUCUGAAACUUCGCCUUCAGGAUGUCGUCACAACACUGCUUCAUUUUAACGUUCUUAGGAGCAUUGCAAUAAGAAGUAGUGCGUAUGUUCAGUGCACCAGGUAGAUUGCUAACUGCUGCUGCCGCUAGUCUGGAGGAGCAGAGUGAGGGGUUGCUCUGUGAGGCGGAUGUUUGGCUGAGUAUGUUUUUGAUGAGGAAGGUAACAUUAAAACAUGAGGAAAAAAAGCUGUUUUUGUUAUUGCGUUUUCAUGAAUGUUGGAAAUAAACAGUCAUAAAACAUU